CACGUAGGGGGCAAGCGUUGUCCGGAUUUAUUGGGCGUAAAGAGCUCGUAGGCGGUUCGGUAAGUCGGGUGUGAAACCUCCAGGCUCAACCUGGAGACGCCACCCGAUACUGCUGUGACUCGAGUCCGGUAGGGGAGCGUGGAAUUCCUGGUGUAGCGGUGAAAUGCGCAGAUAUCAGGAGGAACACCGGUGGCGAAGGCGGUGGUCUGGGCCGGCACUGACGCUGAGGAGCGAAAGCGUGGGGAGCGAACAGG
rnacentral:rRNA from 1 species